CUGGGUGGAUAUCUGAAUGGAUGGAUGGUCCUAUAGUAUAUGGUCAUAUUGAUGAAUUGGAUGGGCUCAUGCAUAGAGUGAUAAUGAACAGGUUUCCCUCAUUAUUCCUCACAGGACUCUCCUGUGCAUGGGACAUUUGCACAGGACAUUUGCACAGGACAUUUGCACAUGCUGUUUCUUCUUGGGAUAUCCUCUGCUCACCAGGUUCCCUGCCACCUUGAGGAAAGGUCUGAAGCAAGAUCAUCUCAGAAUGAAGAGCAGCAAAGGCUGGAGGGCAAUGGCAUACUGAAGAACCUACUGACUCCAUUGUAUCUUCUGUCCAAAGGGUCACCUUCUCCAGAUGCCCACCUCUAUCCUGUGGCCUGCAACUAGCAGCCUGCCCCAUCCUCUAUCCUGUGACCCGGAACUAGCAGCCUGCCCCAUCCUCUAUCCUGUGACCCGGAACUAGCAGCCUGCCCCAUCCUCUGUCCUGUGACCCGGAACUAGCAGCCUGCCCCAUCCUCUGUCCUGUGACCUGGAACUAUCAACCUGCCCCAUCCUCUGUCCUGUGACCUGGAACUAGCAGCCUGCCCCAUCCUCUAUCCUGUAACCUGGAACUAGCAGCCUGCCCCAUCCUCUAUCCUGUGACCCGGAACUAGCAGCCUGCCCCAUCCUCUGUCCUGUGACCAGUAACUAGCAGCCUGCCCCAUCCUCUAUCCUGUGACCUGGAACUAGCAGCCUGCCCAUCUUUGGGCCUUUGUUUAUAUGGAAAUGCUGACUCACUGAGCCAUCAGUUCUUGCCAAAGGCAACCAAGGAAAGAAACAAAUUAUAGCCAAGUCCCAGAUGUUUGGCAAAGGAAAUACUUCUGGGAUUGUCCCAGACUGCAUCCCACAUACCUUCAUCAUGGGACCAUGAAAGUGUUCACAGAUGGACCCUGAUGUACUUGGAAGAGCACACAUUUGUUCCAAGUCCUUAUUAAAAAACAUGGUUUGAAGAU
rnacentral:lncRNA from 1 species